rnacentral:lncRNA from 1 species
UUUCACCACAGCAAACUCGUAUAUGAUCAGAAUGUAUGAAAAAAAAUCCCGAAAAGAAUCAACUUCAUGGCUGUCCGGCAGCCGGUGGAGGCGGCGACGAGUAGUCGUAGGCCGGCAGCUUCCACGUCGCCGGUGGUGGAGGCGAGAGGUACCGGUCCUCUGGUGACACCUCGUAGUUGGGCGACCCUGGUAGGUCGUAGUGUGGCGGCGUUGUCGGCUCUUCGUAGGCUGGCGGUGGCGGCGACAGGUACCGGUCCUCCGGUGACACCUCGUAGUAUGGCGGAGGUGGAGACUCUUGGUAAGCUGGGGGUGGCGGUGACUGGUACCGGUCCUCCGGCGACACCUCGUAGUGGGGUGGAGGUGGAGACUCUUGGUAAGCCGGGGGUGGCGGUGAGUGGUACCGGUCCUCCGGUGACACCUCGUAGUAGGGAGCUGGCACCUCGUAGUGGGGAGGCGUUGUCGGCUCUUGGUACGCUGGAG